rnacentral:rRNA from 1 species
UGGGGAAUUUUGGACAAUGGGCGCAAGCCUGAUCCAGCCAUACCGCGUGAGUGAAGAAGGCCUUCGGGUUGUAAAGCUCUUUCAGACGGAAAGAAACGGUCGCGGCCAAUACCCGCGACUAAUGACGGUACCGUAAGAAGAAGCACCGGCUAACUACGUGCCAGCAGCCGCGGUAAUACGUAGGGUGCGAGCGUUAAUCGGAAUUACUGGGCGUAAAGCGUGCGCAGGCGGUUUGGUAAGACAGGUGUGAAAUCCCCGGGCUUAACCUGGGAACUGCAUUUGUGACUGCCAGACUAGAGUGUAGCAGAGGGGGGUAGAAUUCCACGUGUAGCAGUGAAAUGCGUAGAUAUGUGGAGGAAUACCGAUGGCGAAGGCAGCCCCCUGGGCUAACAUUGACGCUCAUGCACGAAAGCGUGGGGAGCAAACAGGAUUAGAUACCCUUGUAGUCCCUGAGCGGGCUGGCAAGGCGCAU